rnacentral:sRNA from 1 species
GGUAUUCCUUAUCUGUCUAAUACGUUGAUUAUCUGGAACCUGUCCCAUUGCGCUCUUGCCCGUCAUACUUCGGCUUGCCUCAUUGUUGGCUUCACGUCCUCACCCCAGUCACUUACUAAAGUAAGCUCCAGGGGAUUCCAACGCUUGCCGCUGCGAUGCAAGGCGAAUUAUUUAGGGCAACUGAAUAAAAGAACGCAAUAAGACAGGUUCUGUGUUUAGUUGCCGCGCUCUAAAGUUUG